rnacentral:rRNA from 1 species
GACGAACGCUGGCGGCGUGCUUAACACAUGCAAGUCGAACGGAGUGGCGAACGGGGGAGUAACACGUGGGUGAUCUGCCUUGCACGUCGGGAUAAACUUGGGAAACUGGGUCUAAUACCGGAUAGUGCAAGAUGAGCUCGCGGCCAAUGAGCUUGUUGGUGGGGUAAUGGCCUACCAAGGCGUCGACGGGUAUCCGGCCUGUGAGGGUGUACGGCCACAGUGGGCCUGAGGUACGGCCCAGACGCCGACGGGGGGCAGCAGGGGCGAAGAUGGCACAAUGGUCGGAAGUCUGAUGCAGCGACGCUGCGUGGGGGAUGAAGGCCUUCGGGUUGUAAACGCCUUGCGACAGGGACGCGGUACCUGUAUAAGAAGCACCGGCUAACUACGUGCCAGCAGCCGCGGUAAUUC